AAUUAAAUAGUUUAUGAAAAAUAUUGAUUUGUGGAGUCAAAGAAAUUUAAUUAUUUUAAUUA
rnacentral:tRNA from 2 species